CUUUCAUCGAGUAUUUGUUUUGUUUCAAUUCGCCUUAUUCACCCGGAACUUUCUAAAGACGUUGAGGGGUACACUUCAGGGGUACACCCGGCUGCACACCAGCUGUUUGGCGCCUCACUGCUGUGUGCCCAAAUGUAGUCCUACGUCCUCAAAGAGAAACAAAUCCUACCGUGGACAGACUUUCCACCGUUUCGCCAAAGAGCAGGCACUUCGGCGUGAAUGAAUUAAUCACAUGAAGAGGGAUCCUGGUCCAUAUUUCAAGAUCAACGCUGAGACCGAGGUUUGAUCUGAGCACGUUGAGAAGCAAUGCUUUGUUAAGGUCACCCGUGGUAUGACAACGCUAAUAAAGGAUGCUGUGCCUGCCAACUUUGUUCGCCUGGACUUCAGAGAAGCCAAAGAGGAGAAUCAUCAUUCGCAUACCGUGUAUGGAUUCCAUGGAGUAUUCCAUCGAGUAUUUCUUCUGUUUCAAUCGUCUUGGUGGAGUUUUUGAGCUGGAUCUGGAUUCUGCUGAGGAUUCGUCGACUACUAGAUGGCGAGCCACCCACUCAUUCGAAUGUGAUCCUGUUCUACAUUGCGCAUGGCAUAUUUGGUAGGAUUGUGGCCUGCUCGUGUCACAUCACUGACUGACUGACUUCAACGCCUUGAACUGAACUGCUUGAAAGGAGCUGUUUUUCUUUUUGAACAACUUAAAGGAACUCUCUACAUCGUCUCUUUUGAGGAUUUAAAGGACUAUUUCCAAUUUUUGAAGGACAAUU